rnacentral:rRNA from 1 species
UAGAGUUCGGGCCGCACGCGCGCUACACUGACAGAGCCAGCGAGUCUACCACCUUUGCCGGAAGGCAUGGGUAAUCUUGUGAAACUCUGUCGUGAUGGGGAUAGAGCAUUGCAAUUAUUGCUCUUCAACGAGGAAUACCUAGUAAGCGUGAUUCAUCAGAUCGCGUUGAUUACGUCCCUGCCCUUUGUACACACCGCCCGUCGCUACUACCGAUUGAAUGGCUUAGUGAGGCCUCCGGAUUGGCUAUUGGGAGCUCGCGAGAGCACCCGACUGCCGAGAAGUUGUACGAACUUGGUCAUUUAGAGGAAGUAAAAGUCGUAACAAGGUUUCCGUAGGUGAACCUGCGGAAGGAUCAUUAGUGAACAUAGGACGUCCAACUUAACUUGGAGUCCGAACUCUCACUUUCUAACCCUGUGCAUUUGUUUGGGGUAGUAGCCUUUCGGGGCGAAUCCCUAUUCACUUAUAAACACAAAGUCUAUGAAUGUAUUUAAUUUUAUAACAAAAUAAAACUUUCAACAACGGAUCUCUUGGCUCUCGCAUCGAUGAAGAACGCAGCGAAAUGCGAUAAGUAAUGUGAAUUGCAGAAUUCAGUGAAUCAUCGAAUCUUUGAACGCACCUUGCGCUCCAUGGUAUUCCGUGGACAGCCUGUUUGAGUGUCAUGAAUACUUCACCCUCCUCUUUCUUUAUGAUCGAAAGGUGUUGGAUUCUGACGUUUGCUGGCUCACGGUCGACCCUCGUAAGCAUACACCGCAUCGACUCGGAUGCUGGGUAUA